CCACAUACACACACUGCCCCCCCCCCCAUCUCCCUCUCAUCCCCACUGCCUGGCAUGCAAUCACAACCUACAUUACAAUGCAGUGGUGGAACUAAAGUAGAGAGAUAACUUUUUUGGGGCCCUGCUUUUGCAGGGGGGGGGCCAAAAGGUCGAUCCCCAUCUGUCAUGCAACUCCAACAAUGCUUUGACUGCUGGGACUCUACAAUUUUCGCAUGCUUGCUGGGUUGUAUUUAGCACCGAACAGUGUUUGUGUUUUUGAAUGUAAGCAUGGUUUUGUAUGGAGUAUGUGUGAGUGAAUGUAAACAUGGCUUUGUAUGGAGUAUGUGUGUGAAUAUAGGGGUGUGUUUUUAUGUAGUGUUGGCAUUUGAAUGCAGGGGUGUUUUUAUAUUUAAUUUUGUUUUUUGACACAGAAGUGUGUUUGUAUGUAGUGUUAAAGUUUUAAUGCAGGAGUGUGUUUGUGUGUAGUGCAGAUAUUCAGACACACACACUGACACAGAUACAUGCACACAGAUGCACAACCUGACACACAUGCAGAUACACACACACAAAUACGCACACUGCUUACAUAUAGAUACACACAAUGACAACAUACAGAUACACUGACACACAUAUAGAUACACAACCUGACACACAUGUAGAUAGACAGAUACAAACACUGACACACAUGUAUAUACACAGGCAAACAGAUACACAGAUACACACUGACUAUAUACAGAUGCACCCAUAUACACACUGACACCUACACACACACAGAUACACACAUUGACAACAUGCAGAUACACAGACACAUACUGAUACAUAUACUAACAGACACAUAUACUGAAAAACAUACUGACACAUACACUGACUGACACACUGACAAACACAUAUACACACGAACACAUAUACACAGACACAUAUACUGACCCAUAAACUGACAGACAUACUGACAGACACACACACACUCAGACACACUGACACACACAUACAUUAAAAGACAUACUGACAGACACACUCCUAUACACACACAGUAACACAUACACUGACAGAGAUACUGGCACACACUAACACACACACAAUACACUGACAGACAUACUGGCACACACUAACACACACACAAUACACUGACAGACAUACUGGCACACUCAGACACACAUGCACAUUCUACACAUUGAUAUCCACCCUCCAGUUUCUUACUUUUUUGCUAGAGGCUGGCUUCCCUGGGGUCCAGGAUGCUGACUGGGGUGGCUGGGAGUUAGGAUCCAGGUCUCUCGGCCUGGCCCCUUUCCACACUGCUUGAAUAGGGCGGGUUGUUAUCAUGCUGUGAGGUUUUUGAAAAUGGCAGAUAGGAGGAGAAGAGAAGACAAGGAGGUCAUUGUAAAAAAAGUAUAUAAUUAAUUAAUAUAACCGGUUAGUAAAUAGUUGCAUGAUGAUGAUUGCUAUUUCUUUCUCCAGUUACGAACUCCAGUAAAACUGAAUGAUGUAUUAAUGGAUCAUGUAAGCUACACCCUUUGUUUGGACUGGGUAAGCUUCUAAGAGAACGCAGUGGCAAAAAUCAGUUUAAUGCAUUUGCUUCUCAAAAAUAGCCAAUAGCGUUUCGUGUGUGUAUAUCAAAGAACUUGAUCCUCCCCUCCUUCCUAGAUGCCAAAAUUUAAUUAUUAAAUUGAAUUACUGUGAGCUAUAGCUAUGGAGCUCUGUGAUUCAUAAACACCACAUCUUACUGUGAGUUUUAUUAGUGUGAAGCUCUGUGAUACACUCAUACUGCAAUUUACUGUGAGUUUUAUUGCUAGGGAGCUCUGUAAUACACUCAUACAAACUGUACUUUACUGUGAGUUUUAUUGCUGGGGAGCUCUGUAAUACACUCAUACAAACUGUACUUUACUGUGAGUUUUAUUGCUGGGGAGCUCUGUAAUACACUCAUACAAACUGUACUUUACUGUGAGUUUUAUUGCUGGGGAGCUCUUUAAUACACUCAUACAUACUGCAAUUUACUGUGAGUUUUAUUGCUGGGGAGCUCUGUGAUACGCUCAUACAAACUGUACUUUACUGUGAGUUUUAUUGCUGGGGAGCUCUUUAAUACACUCAUACAUACUGCAAUUUACUGUGAGUUUUAUUGCUGGGGAGCUCUGUGAUACGCUCAUACAAACUGUACUUUACUGUGAGUUUUAUUGCUGGGGAGCUCUUUAAUACACUCAUACAUACUGCAAUUUACUGUGAGUUUUAUUGCUGGGGAGCUCUGUGAUACGCUCAUACAAACUGUACUUUACUGUGAGUUUUAUUGGUGUGGGGCUCUGUGAUACACUCAUACACGCUGUACUUUACUGUGAGUUUUAGGCACUUAAUGUACAAAGAAAUCUACAUGUUUAGUGUGUGAAUUAAGAGGAUUGAAAGGUGCUGCAGAUUACCCAG